GGCCGUGUGGCGAAAUGGCAUCUCAUCUGACUACGAUUACGCGUAUGCAUAUAUGGAUAAUCAGGAGAGUGCAGGCUCGACACCUGUCUCGGUCA